rnacentral:rRNA from 1 species
UUGAACGCUGGCGGCAUGCCUUACACAUGCAAGUCGAACGGUAGAGGGGCAACCCUUGAGAGUGGCGAACGGGUGAGUAAUAUAUCGGAACGUGCCCAGUCGUGGGGGAUAACGCAGCGAAAGCUGCGCUAAUACCGCAUACGAUCUAUGGAUGAAAGCGGGGGAUCGCAAAGACCUCGCGCGAUUGGAGCGGCCGAUAUCAGAUUAGGUAGUUGGUGGGUAAAAGCCCACCAAGCCGACGAUCUGUAGCUG